rnacentral:lncRNA from 1 species
AGAUACUGCAAUGGAACUGCCAUAAAUGCACUGAAGGGCAUAGGAGGGGAGGUGUUCAGAAGGAACCUGGAAGAUCUCUCUUUCAAGCAGCAUGUCUCCCAAGCAAAGCCUCCCAGGGGAGCUCUGGCAGGCACAGAAAGGCUAAAAGCAGCUGGUGUUGGCUUGCUGUUAACAAAGGAUUUUCGCCUGCGAGUUUCCCUGCGAAUGACUUUUGCAAGGUUAAGCAAAGCAUCUGCAGGACCAAAACAAGACUUAAAGCAACAAUGGGUUCAGAGCAGAGCUAAUAUCUGCUGUGUGCUGCUCCAAGAAUCCCAGUGCUCAAUAACUCCAGAAGUAUAAUCAGAUAGGAACUAAAGUAGUAAAUACACUGAAAUAGUUUAAAUCAUUGUACAGGUAAU